rnacentral:lncRNA from 1 species
CUCAUUGCCUCCCCGUCCCUGUCUCCCCUGACACUCGUUCCUCCAGAAGCCCGGUAAACCCCGUCCUUACGAGCCCCGCCCCUAGCUCUUCUACUACGGAGGGGAACUGCAGAGCCAGAAGAGCACGGAGCAGCAACUCGCAGCCCAAUUGGUGACGCUGCAGGUGCUUGAGCGGGACCCUGAGGUCUUUAGUAGGGGCGGAGCAGCAGCGUGAGCGGGGCCGUGACCACCUGGGGGUGUGGCUUAAGGCAGGCCCUGAAGGCGUGGGCGGGGCGGGGAUGUGGGCGGGGCAUAAUCGCCUGGGGGCGGGGCCCUGAGGGCUAGAUACGGGCGGAGCGCGGAGGGGGCGGGGCCAUGACCAGCUGGGGCGUUGCUUACGACUGGUCCUGAGGACGUGGGCGGGGUCAUGAUCGCCUGGGGGCGGGCACUGAGGGCCGGGGGCGGGGCCCGGAGGCGCAGCGGGUUGCCGGCCUGCGGACCUCCUGACAUUCCCUGGGUCCUUCUCAAGAAUGAACUGGAGCUGGCGGAGACCAAAUGCGCCUUGCAGGAGGAGAAGCUGCAGCAGGUGAGGGCAGAAGCGGGUUCUGUUGGAGGAGGGUAGGCUUUCGAGUGUGGAUGGGGAAGGGCCUGUCGCCCCGCCCCCGCCGAGUCUAACCCGGGUGUCCACACCCAGGACGCGCUGCAGACAGCGGAGGCCUGGGCCAUAUUCCAGGAGCAGACCGUAGUCCUGCAGGUGCGGCCCCACUCAGACGCCAAGGUGCCUCCCGCCUCUCCUCCCCCAGACCUGGGGCGGUAAGUCUCCCAACCCACCGCCAGGACGCCUCCCCGAGGCCUCAGUCCGCACUCUCACCCGCUCCAGGAGGUGCAGGUGAAGGUGAUGGAGGCUGCGGAGGAGCUGGACGCCUGGCAGAGUGGCCGGGAACUGUAAGGGAGUUGGGCUUGCGGGCGCGGCGGGGCACUGUGGGGCCGGGCCGGGCUGGGCUCCCACCUGCAUGCCUGUCCCCGCAGGUGUGACGGGCAGCUUCGCAGAGUGCAGUACAGCACCGAGUCGCUCAUGGAGGAGAUGGCCAGGGCGGACCGAGAGACGCGGCUGUUCGGCGGUCCUCGCGCGCUGGCCAUCAGGCGCUGCUGACGCUGCCGCUCCUCUUCCUGGGGCUGUCGCUGCUCUGGACGGUGCUGUUGGACCCCGGCGCCGUCUCCGCGUGGCUCUGGAGCCUCACCUCGGAGACGACGCUGCGCCGCCUGCGCUACACGCUGUCCCCGCUGCUGGAGCUGCGCGCUAACGGGCUGCUGCCAACCUAAGUGCAGCGCCCCGCGCCUGGCUCCAGGUGGACUCCAGGGCACCGGCUUUAUUUCUGGUGCACUCCUCU